rnacentral:rRNA from 1 species
UACGUAGGGUGCAAGCGUUGUCCGGAAUUAUUGGGCGUAAAGAGCUCGUAGGUGGCCUGUCGCGUCGGCUGUGAAAACUCGGGGCUCAACUCCGAGCUUGCAGUCGAUACGGGGCAGGCUAGAGUUCGGCAGGGGAGACUGGAAUUCCUGGUGUAGCGGUGAAAUGCGCAGAUAUCAGGAGGAACACCGGUGGCGAAGGCGGGUCUCUGGGCCGAUACUGACACUGAGGAGCGAAAGCGUGGGGAGCGAACAGG